rnacentral:rRNA from 1 species
AGGUUUGAUCCUGGCUCAGGACGAACGCUGGCGGCGUGCCUAAUGCAUGCAAGUCGCACGCAGAGUGCUUGCACUCUGAGUGGCGCACGGCUGAGGAACACGUGGGCAUCUGCCCGACCGUGGGGGAUAACUCGGCGAAAGCCGCGCUAAUCCCGCAUACGCUCGCAAGAGGAAAGCAGCAAUGCGCGGUCGGAGGAGCCUGCGGCCCAUCAGGUAGUUGGCGGGGUAACGGCCCACCAAGCCGGUGACGGGUAGCUGGUCUGUGAGGACAACCAGCCAGACUGGGACUGAGACACGGCCCAGACUCCUACGGGAGGCAGCAGCAAGGAAUUUUCGGCAAUGGGGGCAACCCUGACCGAGCAACGCCGCGUGGAGGAUGACGGUCUUCGGGUCGUAAAGCACUUUUCUGAGAGAUGAGAAAGGACAGUAUCUCAGGAAUAAGUCUCGGCUAACUACGUGCCAGCCGCCGCGGUAAUA